UAGCGUAUAUUAAAGUUGUUGCAGUUAAAAAGCUCGUAGUUGAACUUCUGACUAUUGCGUAAGCCGGAUUCGUUCGCUCCCGUGAUAGUCAUCCGCUUGGGAACUCCGUUCGAACUUAACUGUUUGGCGGAAGGAACAGGCAUUUUACUUUGAAAAAAUUAGAGUGUUCAAGGCAGGCUAUAGCCCUGAAUACACAAGCAUGGAAUAAUGAAAUAGGACUGGUUCCAUUUUAUUGGUUAUUGGACUAGUAAUGAUUAAUAGGGACAGUUGGGGGCAUUAGUAUUUAAUUGUCAGAGGUGAAAUUCUUGGAUUUAUUAAAGACUAACUUAUGCGAAAGCAUUUGCCAAGGAUGUUUUCAUUAAUCAAGAACGAAAGUUAGGGGAUCAAAGACGAUCAGAUACCGUCCUAGUCUUAACUAUAAACUAUGCCGACUAGGGAUUGGCCGGGUAUUUAAAACCCGGUCAGCACCUUAUGAGAAAUCAAAGUCUAUGGGUUCUGGGGGGAGUAUGGUCGCAAGGCUGAAACUUAAAGGAAUUGACGGAAGGGCACC
rnacentral:rRNA from 1 species